rnacentral:misc_RNA from 1 species
ACGAGUUAGGGUCCCCUGGGCCCGACCUCCCAACCCAUUGUUUACCAAACCAUUUGUUGCUUCGGCGAGCCCGUCUUCACGGACCGCCGGGGGACCGUCACAGGUCUCCUGGCCCGCGCUCGUCGGUAGCCCCCAACCUCAAAACUCUUAAUUAAACGUGUCUUGACUAAGUACCAAUUUUUUAAUUAAAAGCA